rnacentral:rRNA from 1 species
UGUGCUGUACUGGAUCAGCUGGUGAUCAGGAUAGAAAUUGAUGCCGCUGAAAAGUCUUUAAAAAUGACCUUCGAAACAGGUUGCGCUUCAAGGCACAACGCAGAUCUCACGGGGAGUGAAUCGGACUCUGUCUCAAUGCCGCUGACAUCAGGGGCCCAACUUUUGGAAAAAAAGAAAGAAAAAUGAAGUUGCGAACGGCCUUUCUUGGUGGUGGGUCGCUUUAGGCCCCACUCGAUUAGCUAGCUUUGGGAACAAUACAGUACUUUGGCGCAAUACUGGCUUUACUGUGCAGUAUUUCAUCUCAAAUUGAUCAGCAUGAGAGCAUGAAGCAAGCUAGUUGCAGCUGUGACACCAUCGUUAGGUACAGUACCACUUGCUUCGUUAAUUUUACUGCUCUUUGAAAAAAAAAACCCCCCAAUUUCCAACCUUCCUGACAGAUCCUGAAAGCCGAUUUAUUCUCGCUUUUUUUAUCUUUUACAUCUGUGAAGCUUUCGUUGGCCAUAGGUGCGUUCAGUCCCCUGACCGGAGAUUGCGCUUUUAGUUGCACCAAUCUUGCAAAGGCGAAAGUGAUCUUCGAAGUUCCUGCGAAGAUCGAGAGAGUCUGGCUGAGAUGAUUAUUUUUUCUUUUUGAGAAUUUGUUUUUCUUUUCUUUGGGAAGAGGGCAAAUUUGUCAAUUUGAUUUUUCCGCAACGCCAAACGCAGUCGGUUUUAAUUCAAUACAGGCGUUCAAGCAUCGCCUCGAUCAAAAGCCGCGAAUCAGCAGGGAUGUCACUACAGUAUAUCAUAGCUGUGAUGAAGUGUGUCCGAACACCGCACCGUUCAGCCAUUCAAUGUUUUUAACUAUCUUCCUGGGGGUUUCGCCUCGGAAUUUUGAGCGAAAGUUGCUUACAUUUUUCACUGUACCUACAGUAUUUCCACCUCACAUGGUAAAUCGAAGUCCGACCUAAGUGACUGCAGAUUUGUCGUCUUACAGUAAAAGGCGAUUGUUUCCAGCGCAGGAAAAGAAAAGAAAAGAAAAGAAAAGAAAAGUUCAUGAUGCUCUGAGAAUGCAUUGUUUUGACUCGAAACGGCAUCCAUGCGAACCAGCCAAGAUCUUCAGCCCGAACACACAUCGUCUGUAAGCCAACUCACAGUCGUUUAUCCUUCUCCGUCGCCCAGUUGAGGGACAGGCUCGUGACGAGUGGCUACUUUUGAUUCAGAAACCGUUCCUUUCACGAAGAGAGUUUUUCAAAGCCGGAAAUGUUCACGUCGAGUAGGCGUAAAAUCCACAUGUCAAGUUGCGCGAGAUGACCACGGCGUUCGAGAUUUUUUUUCUCACUUCAGAAAUUGAAAAAUGGGUUUUGGUCUAUUCAAAUGCAAGUCUAACAAAUACCGGCCUGAAUUUCGAGCGAAGUGGCCACGUUGCCUUUUUUCGCUUCCUAUCGCAAUCUGUCGGGGAAAUUUGGAGAUCGGGACGAUGGACCACUUUUGAGCUUUGAAUGACUUUGUUAGAGUGCGGAAACGCUCGCCGACUUUUUUGGACGCGCACUUUGAACCUUGACUUUUUCUUUUUUUGGUUUGAUCAAAUCAAUCCUUCGUCGUAGUCACCAUCAUCCCCACACUAUCGCACUUUCGCACUUUCCGCAUUCCGCAUCCUACUCUCACCUUUCGCAUCACGGGACUGCUGCUGAUCGCCUCAGUGCCAGCCGACAACGGUGCUCAAGCGCCGGCUCGCCACCAUCUCUUCUCGCUUCAGUUCGGCAUUCUCCCUCGCACUUCUGCAGCCACGACUUUACUUGCAUCGAUUCAUGAUCCGCAUCGCUCUGUCACGACCGCCAUCACUCUUUACGCAGGCAUCGUCCACCGUCUCAUAGUUAACAUCUUCGGCUUGGGCGUUGCUCUUCUCACAGACCCGCAACUCAGCUGUCGACAGCGCCAGCGGGUUGCGCACCACCACCACCUCCACCACCGUCCACCAUGACGCAGGUCGACGCUCUUGCUGAUGCCCUAACGGCUACCUCUGUGCACACCGCAGACGGCGCAUCGACCGCUUCGGCUUCGACUGUGCCCAACCUCAAGACGACCAAGCCCUCAUUCGCUUCUGCGCUUCGAACGGGCCAAAACGCUACUCCGACUAUCCUCACGAGAGACGCUGCGGCUCCUGUCACGUCUUCAUCUUCAUCGCCAACACCCCCAGCUUCAGCUGACAUUGUCUCUGCUGCGAUUCCAGCAUCAUCUUCUUCGUCGUUGU